GACGGAGGGUGCUAGCGUUGUUCGGAAUUACUGGGCGUAAAGGGCUCGUAGGUGGCCAACUAAGUCAGACGUGAAAUCCCUCGGCUUAACCGGGGAACUGCGUCUGAUACUGGAUGGCUAGAGAUUGGGAGAGGGAUGCGGAAUUCCAGGUGUAGCGGUGAAAUGCGUAGAUAUCGAGAGGAACACCUGCGGCGAAGGCGGGUUGCUGGGCCGACACUGACGCUGGAGGUGCGAAAGCGUGGGGAGCAAACAGG
rnacentral:rRNA from 1 species